rnacentral:rRNA from 1 species
AUUGAACGCUGGCGGCAGGCCUAACACAUGCAAGUCGAACGAGUGGCGGACGGGUGAGUAAUGUCUGGGAAACUGCCUGAUGGAGGGGGAUAACCACUGGAAACGGUAGCUAAUACCGCAUACCAUCAGAUGUGCCCAGAUGGGUUUAGCUUGUGGGUGGGGUAACGACACACCAAGGCGACGAUCCCUAGCUGGUCUGAGAGGAUGACCAGCCACACUGGAACGGAGACACGGUCCAGACUCAUACGUGAGGCAGCAUUGGGGAAUAUUGCACAAUGGGCGCAAGCCUGAUGCAGCCAUGCCGCGUGUAUGAAGAAGGCCUUCGGGUUGUAAAGUACUUUCAGCGGGGAGGCGUUACCCGCAGAAGAAGCACCGGCUAACUCCGUGCCAGCCGCCGCGGUAAUUC